CACACCCUGAAAAAUGGGCGCUCGGGAACACGUGUGUCGCUCUGGUGUUGCUCUGGUGUUUGAGCGCGCCUGCUGUGCGUCUACACUGCUACUUUAAACUUCAACUUCUCUUUCAGAGAAACCUCAGAUUCAGAGCUCAGUCUGACUGGAACAUGACGUCGAUUGAAACCUUGAACACUGAAGAUGAUUUAAUUCCAGCAACAUGGCGACCACUGAGGGGGAGAAGUGUCUGCCACACUCAAACAAGCAUGUAUAAAUCCAGAGGUGUCUGACCUGAGAUGCAACAAGUGUCCACACAGAGGACAUUUUUGACAUUUUAAGUUGCAGCAGUUGAGGACAAACGGAAAAUAUCACCAACAGAGCUAAAAAGUUGAAUUUAAAGGAGCCUGAUGGGAAACUUAAGAGAAGGCGUGGACAUGGGAACUGGAAUAUUUUUUCCAAAUGCUGCUCCGACACUGUACUCCAUUCACCUACCGGCAGCACCACCAGCAGCACCAGCAGCACCAGCAGCACCACCAGUGUUAGUGUACGUGUUAGUAUUAGCAGUGUUACUUGUACUAGUUGUAAAACUGCUAAAAAGAUAAAAGACAAAAAGAUCGGAGAUGUUGUUUGAUCUGAAUAAUGUAACUUUGAUUUGCAAAUCUUUUAUUACCUUAAUUCAGUUGAGGACAGAACAAAGACGAGAUAUUUAAUGUUCAAACUGAUAAACUUUAUUGUUUUUUGUAAAUCUGCACUCACUCUGCAGCAGGUUUUAAUAAAGCUGGGACACAGCCACU